GACGAACGCUGGCGGCGUGCUUAACACAUGCAAGUCGAACGGUGAAGGGACCGGUUUUUGCUGGUUCUGGAUGAGUGGCGAACGGGUGAGUAACACGUGAGUAACCUGCCCCCUUCUUCUGGAUAACCGCAUGAAAGUGUGGCUAAUACGGGAUAUUCUGCGCCUGCUGCAUGGUGGGGGUGGGAAAGAUAUUGUUUCGGUGGGGGAUGGGCUCGCGGCCUAUCAGCUUGUUGGUGGGGUGAUGGCCUACCAAGGCGGUGACGGGUAGCCGGCCUGAGAGGGUGGACGGUCACACUGGGACUGAGACACGGCCCAGACUCCUACGGGAGGCAGCAGUGGGGAAUAUUGCACAAUGGGCGCAAGCCUGAUGCAGCGACGCCGCGUGAGGGAUGGAGGCCUUCGGGUUGUAAACCUCUUUCGCCAGUGAAGCAGGCCUGUCCCUUUUGUGGGUGGGUUGACGGUAGCUGGAUAAGAAGCGCCGGCUAACUACGUG
rnacentral:rRNA from 1 species